rnacentral:rRNA from 1 species
GACGAACGCUGGCGGCGUGCCUAAUACAUGCAAGUCGAACGCAGUGGGGACGGGUGAGUAACACGUGGGUAACCUCCCAUCAGAGGGGAUAACACUUGGAAACAGGUGCUAAACCGAUCCUGAUGGAUGGACCCGCGGUGCAUUAGCUAGUUGGUUAGGUAACGGCUCACCAAGGCCACGAUGCAUAGCCGGCCGGAGAGGGUGAUCGGCCACACUGGGACUGAGACACGGCCCAGAGUCCUACGGGAGGCAGCAGUAGGGAAUCUUCGGCAAUGGACGAAAGUCUGACCGAGCAACGCCGCGUGAGUGAAGAAGGUUUUCGGAUCGUAAAACUCUGUUGUUAGAGAAGCGGUAUCUAACCAGAAAGCAACGGCUAACUACGUGCCAGCAGCCGCGGUAAUUC